UUCGCCCUUGUUGAUCCUGCCGGACCUGACUGCUAUCGGAUUGAUACUAAGCCAUGCGAGUCAUUGUAGCAAUACAAGGCAGACGGCUCAGUAACGCGUAGUCAACCUAACCUAUGGACGGGAAUAACCUCGGGAAACUGAGAAUAAUGCCCGAUAGAACACUAUACCUGGAAUGGUUUGUGUUCCAAAUGAUUUAUCGCCGUAGGAUGGGACUGCGGCCUAUCAGUUUGUUGGUGAGGUAAUGGCCCACCAAGACUAUUACAGGUACGGGCUCUGAGAGGAGUAGCCCGGAGAUGGGUACUGAGACACGGACCCAGGCCCUAUGGGGCGCAGCAGGCGAGAAAACUUUGCAAUGUGCGAAAGCACGACAAGGUUAAUCCGAGUGAUUUGUGCUAAACGAAUCUUUUGUUAGUCCUAGAACCACUAACGAAUAAGGGGUGGGCAAGUUCUGGUGUCAGCCGCCGCGGUAAAACCAGCACCUCAAGUGGUCAGGAUGAUUAUUGGGCCUAAAGCAUCCGUAGCCGGCUCUGUAAGUUUUCGGUUAAAUCUGUACGCUUAACGUACAGGCUGCCGGGAAUACUGCAGAGCUAGGGAGUGGGAGAGGUAGACGGUACUCGGUAGGAAGGGGUAAAAUCCUUUGAUCUAUUGAUGACCACCUGUGGCGAAGGCGGUCUACCAGAACACGUCCG
rnacentral:rRNA from 1 species